GAUGCACGCUGGCGGCGUGCCUAAUACAUGCAGGUCGAGCGAAGCGAUGCCGGGUGAGUAACACGUGGAUAACCUCCUAUAAGACUUGGAUAACUCCUGGAAACCGGAGCUAAACCGGAUCCUUAUCACUGGAUCCGCGCUGAAUUAGCUAGUUGGUAAGGUAACUGCUUAACAAGGCAACGAUUCAUAGCCGACCUGAGUGGGUGAUCGGCAACACUGGAACUGAGACACGGUCCAGACGCCUACGGGAGGCAGCAGUAGGGAAUCUUCCGCAAUGGGCGAAAGCCGGACGGAGCAACGCCGCGUUAGUGAUGAAGGGCUUCGGAUCGUAAAACUCUGUUAUUAGGGAAGCGGUACCUAAUCAGAAAGCCACGGCUAACUACGUGCCAGCAGCCGCGGUAAUAC
rnacentral:rRNA from 1 species